GAUGAACGCUGGCGGCGUGCCUAAUACAUGCAAGUCGAGCGAACGCACGAGAAGCUUGCUUCUCUGAUGUUAGCGGCGGACGGGUGAGUAACACGUGGAUAACCUACCUAUAAGACUGGGAUAGCUUCGGGAAACCGGAGCUAAUACCGGAUGAUAUUUUGACCCGCAUUGUUCAAACGUGAAAGACGGUCUUUCUGUCACUUAUGGAUUGGUCCGCGCUGCAUUCGCUAGUUGGUAAGGUAACGGCUUACCAAGGCGACGAUCCAUAGCCGGCCUGAGAGGACGGUCACAAACACCGGGAGGGAGACACGGUGGGGAAUCCUCCGGGAAGGGGCAGUGGGGAAUCGGAGACAAGGGGGGAAAGGAUGAAAUAGCCAUGACGCGUGAGCGAUGAAGGUCUUAGGGAAGUAAAGGUGUUUCAGCUGGGAAGAUAAUGACGGUACCAAAAGAAGAAGCCCCGGCUAACUACGUG
rnacentral:rRNA from 1 species